ensembl:lncRNA
CUCCUGUUGUGCAAAACCAUACCAGCCAGUCACCUGUCGCAAUCAGCUUCUCGCUGUCAUCCAAAAUUUGUGAGGAAAGAGGUUGGAUUUUCCAGCCCUCUGACUCAAAUGCUGAAGAUCUGCCUUAUGUGCGGGCACUGAAGAGACUACAACAAAUUCAAAAACAAAUAAAAGAACAAGUAUCCGAGCAGAAAGAAGCAGGGUUUGGUAAACCAAUUAUUCUCCGACAUUAUGGUGAUCCCAGAGAAGAAAAUUUCCUCAAGACAUGGAAGGGUCAGACUGGCAUGACUGUCACACCAGCGCUGCUGUAUGGCAAACCUCAGAUCCCAAUGGCCAAGAAAACAGACCCCCCACAGAGAAAACUGCAUUAUGGGCUGAAUGAUGGCUCAUCUUUAAUUUAAUAUCCUUUCUGUUUACACAGCACAUGUGAAUGCCAGCAAGCGUGUGACAGGCUGCACAUUCUGUCUGUCUGCCUGUCAUGGUGGAAACCACAGAAGAUACAGUGCUUCAUAAAUAUACUUCUCACUUAUAUGUCAUCUUUGCUCCUGGGAAGGUCACUCUUGGCCUUUACCAGCAGGAAUUUCCUAUUGGCCCGUGUUAGCUUAGUCAGGCAGGAGGAUUUUGUACUCAGAGCUCUUCCCAUCCUCCAUCUCUCCCAACCCACUUGGCUCUUAAGGAUAUAGAGCAGGUAGAGAGUGUUAGUCCCUGUGCGCUCUGCAUAGGCAUGCAACAGAAGCCAUGAAACUGAGAGAGCAUGAUCAAGUUAACUCCUUGACUCAUUUUAGCUAUCCUUCUGAAUAUCUUGCUGUUUGCCAAAGCUACUGCAAUCUCCCAGGUGGGGGCUUGUGUACCAACAUAUUUAGCCCUUCUCCGGAUCACUCUAUAGUUGGAACUUUCACCCCUUUUGGACAUGGCAGUAUCUGUCUUCCUAGCAGCACCAUAACAAUGAUGUUUAAUCAGGAAGGAGGUCUGGUGACUAAUAAAGAUGGAGAAAUGGCCAGAGAAUGGAAAUGGCCUCGGGAUGGCAAGCUUGCCCAGCCAGUUAUAAUACAGGUUAAUGAAUACAUUACAGUGAGGAUUGCAGGGCGCUUUGCAAUUAGCUUGAUCUACAACUGGCAACAUGAAAGCGUGUGCUUGUCUUUGUCACCACUGCAGGGUGCGGCUCUUCCACAGUUAGAAGAGUUGCCAAAGUUGACAGAGUUAUUGAAGAAAUACAAAGGUCCAGAGGAGACUAUAAGCCAUGUAAAUGAUAUCAGUGCAGCUAGAGAACUGAGGAAGCUACAGAGGAAGAUCCGGAGCAUUGUGGAGGACUGGCUGGAGCAUUAUCGAACUGCCCUAGGAACUGACUCCACACACAUUCAGAAAAUGUCUGACUUUCCUCUGCAACUCUCAAGGAAAUGCAAAAUUCAGUCUGCAGAUGCUCUCUCAGUUACCUCAGUCAUGCAGAGAUCAAAAGGGAAGAGGAAAGACAACAGCCAAGCUACCAAGUCAGAAAGUCCUCUCCUUCUAGAUCAACUGCAGUCGGCUCCUCCUCACAACAUGCAGCAGGAACCAUGCUCUUAUUCUCUCAGGGUCAUAUCCCAGACUGCUUGCCCUGCUGUUCUUCGGAGAAUUAUGAUGGGGGAGGAAGGGAAGACAUGCAGAUGUAGUAAUCGUAAGAUUCCCAAUGUGUCCGACCUGGAAUAUGAUCACCUAAUUAACAAUCAGAUGUCCUCCAAGGAGCAGAUCGUAGUGGUCUGUGUCUCUUCUUCUUCACAAAUAAAAAAAGAUCCUAGUGAAGACAAAUUAGAGCAGCUGUAUGAAAGAAAAAACAAG